GGGUUGUGAGGUUAAGCGACUAAGCGUACACGGUGGAUGCCCUGGCAGUCAGAGGCGAUGAAGGGCGUGCUAAUCUGCGAUAAGCGCCGGUAAGGUGAUAUGAACCGUUAUAACCGGCGAUACCCGAAUGGGGAAACCCAGUGUGACUCGUCACACUAUCAUUAACUGAAUCCAUAGGUUAAUGAGGCGAACCGGGGGAACUGAAACAUCUAAGUACCCCGAGGAAAAGAAAUCAACCGAGAUUCCCCCAGUAGCGGCGAGCGAACGGGGAGGAGCCCAGAGCCUGAAUCAGCAUGUGUGUUAGUGGAAGCGUCUGGAAAGGCGCGCGAUACAGGGUGACAGCCCCGUACACAAAAGCGCAUGUGCUGUGAGCUCGAUGAGUAGGGCGGGACACGUGGUAUCCUGUCUGAAUAUGGGGGGACCAUCCUCCAAGGCUAAAUACUCCUGACUGACCGAUAGUGAACCAGUACCGUGAGGGAAAGGCGAAAAGAACCCCGGCGAGGGGAGUGAAAAAGAACCUGAAACCGUGUACGUACAAGCAGUGGGAGCACCCUUUGGGGUGUGACUGCGUACCUUUUGUAUAAUGGGUCAGCGACUUAUAUUCUGUAGCAAGGUUAACCGAAUAGGGGAGCCGGAGGGAAACCGAGUCUUAAUUGGGCGUUAAGUUGCAGGGUAUAGACCCGAAACCCGGUGAUCUAGCCAUGGGCAGGUUGAAGGUUGGGUAACA
rnacentral:rRNA from 1 species